AUGUCGCUGAUCCGCCGUGGCGACGUGUUCGACCCCUUCUCCCUCGACCUCUGGGACCCCUUCGACGGCUUCCCCUUCGGCUCCGGCAGCGGUAGCAUCUUCCCACGCACCACCAGCUCCGAGACCGCGGCAUUCGCCGGCACGCGCAUCGACUGGAAGGAGACGCCCGAGGCGCACGUGUUCAAGGCGGACGUCCCGGGGCUGAAGAAGGAGGAGGUGAAGGUUGAGGUGGACGACGGCAACGUGCUGCAGAUCAGCGGCGAGCGGAACAAGGAGCAGGAGGAGAAGACCGACACCUGGCACCGCGUGGAGCGCAGCAGCGGCAAGUUCCUGCGCAGGUUCAGGCUCCCGGAGAACGUGAAGGCGGAGGAGAUCAAGGCGGCCAUGGAGAACGGCGUGCUCACCGUCACGGUGCCCAAGGCGGAGGCCAAGAAGCCCGACGUCAAGCCCGUCCAGAUCACCGGCUAG
rnacentral:rRNA from 1 species